rnacentral:rRNA from 1 species
CGGCAAUGGACGCAAGUCUGACCGAGCGACGCCGCGUGCGGGAUGAAGGCCCUUGGGUUGUAAACCGCUGUCAGAGGGGAUGAAAUGCGAGAGGGCUAUCCCUCUCGUUUGACAGAGCCUCAGAGGAAGCACGGGCUAAGUACGUGCCAGCAGCCGCGGUAACACGUACUGUGCGAACGUUAUUCGGAAUCACUGGGCUUAAAGGGUGCGUAGGCGGUUUAGUAAGUAGGGUGUGAAAUGCCAGAGCUCAACUUUGGCACGGCGCUCUAAACUGCUAAACUUGAGUGAGAUAGGGGUGUACGGAACUUCCGGUGGAGCGGUGAAAUGCGUUGAUAUCGGAAGGAACACCGGUGGCGAAAGCGGUACACUGGGUCUUAACUGACGCUGAGGCACGAAAGCCAGGGUAGCGAACGGGAUUAGAUACCCCGGUAGU